rnacentral:rRNA from 1 species
AGUGAACGCUGGCGGUAGGCCUAAUACAUGCAAGUCGAACGGCAGCACAGUAAGAGCUUGCUCUUGCGGGUGGCGAGUGGCGGACGGGUGAGGAAUACAUCGGAAUCUACUUUUUCGUGGGGGAUAACGUAGGGAAACUUACGCUAAUACCGCAUACGACCUACGGGUGAAAGCAGGGGAUCUUCGGACCUUGCGCGAUUGAAUGAGCCGAUGUCGGAUUAGCUAGUUGGCGGGGUAAAGGCCCACCAAGGCGACGAUCCGUAGCUGGUCUGAGAGGAUGAUCAGCCACACUGGAACUGAGACACGGUCCAGACUCCUACGGGAGGCAGCAGUGGGGAAUAUUGGACAAUGGGCGCAAGCCUGAUCCAGCCAUACCGCGUGGGUGAAGAAGGCCUUCGGGUUGUAAAGCCCUUUUGUUGGGAAAGAAAAGCAGCAGGUUAAUACCCCGCUGUUCUGACGGUACCCAAAGAAUAAGCACCGGCUAACUUCGUG